GCAGCGAUGCCGCGUGAGUGAAGAAGGCCCUUGGGUUGUAAAGCUCUUUCGUCGGGGAAGAAAAUGACUGUACCCGAAUAAGAAGGUCCGGCUAACUUCGUGCCAGCAGCCGCGGUAAUACGAAGGGACCUAGCGUAGUUCGGAAUUACUGGGCUUAAAGAGUUCGUAGGUGGUUGAAAAAGUUGGUGGUGAAAUCCCAGAGCUUAACUCUGGAACUGCCAUCAAAACUUUUCAGCUAGAGUUUGAUAGAGGAAAGCAGAAUUUCUAGUGUAGAGGUGAAAUUCGUAGAUAUUAGAAAGAAUACCGAUUGCGAAGGCAGCUUUCUGGAUCAUUACUGACACUGAGGAACGAAAGCAUGGGUAGCGAAGAGGAUUAGAUACCCUCGUAGUCCAUGCCGUAAACGAUGUGUGUUAGACGUUGGAAAUUUAUUUUCAGUGUCGCAGCGAAAGCGAUAAACACACCGCCUGGGGAGUACGACCGCAAGGUUAAAACUCAAAUGAAUUGACGGGGACCCGCACAAGUAGUGGAGCAUGUGGUUUAAUUCGAAGAUACGCGCAGAACCUUACCAACACUUGACAUGUUCGUCGCGACUUUAAGAGAUUAAAGUUUUCGGUUCGGCCGGACGAAACACAGGUGCUGCAUGGCUGUCGUCAGCUCGUGUCGUGAGAUGUUGGGUUAAGUCCCGCAACGAGCGCAACCCUCACUUUUAGUUGCCAUCAUUUAGUUGG
rnacentral:rRNA from 1 species